CUCCCAAAGUGAUGGGAUUAUAAAUUUGAGUCACCAUGCCUGGCCUAAGAUCUUUUGUAGCUGCUAGUUUCUGGUACCCACUCAUUUAUGAGAUUAUCUAAUUUGAGAAUAAAGUAUGGGUCAGGAAUAAGGCACAUCAUUUGGGAGUAAGUGGUAGGGCCUGAUAUAUUUUUGGAUCCAUUUCAGUCAUUUGGUUGAAUUGUGAACUUGAAUAUUGCUGCCUCUUCCCCUUCAUUUUAGCUUCUGCUCAUUUUGUCUCUUUUUCUUUAAAAUAGGCCUGGAAUGUUCUUGCUCUGGAUGGCAGUAACUGGCAGCGAAUUGACCUAUUUGAUUUCCAGAGGGAUAUUGAGGGCCGGGUAGUGGAGAAUAUUUCAAAACGAUGUGGGGGCUUUUUACGAAAGCUAAGUCUUCGUGGAUGUCUUGGAGUGGGAGACAAUGCAUUAAGAACCUUUGCACAAAACUGCAGGAACAUUGAAGUAUUGAAUCUAAAUGGGUGUACAAAGACAACAGACGCGUAAGUAUUUUAUUUUAGGAGGGUAAGUCAUAGCCCCUUAUGUCUGGCUGAUAUUAGCUUUAAAUUCAGGGCACUAACUAUAUCUAGCAAAUUUUAUCUUGGUUUUGUAGAGGAAAGAUUUUUAAAAGAGAAAGCAACAUCAAAGUAGAAAUGGAAUAAGAAACUUACUUUGGAAUUCUAUCUUUGAUAUUUAAGGUGAAACUUUUAAUAGUUGUAGUCAAUGUAUAUACAGUAGGGAUACUAAUAAUACACAUUACUGGGAUUACUUAUAUUUCUUUUU